AUGUAUCAUGCUAUCACUUGUGUGCGUUCGAGUGUAACGAUUACUUCCUAGGGUUUAGGCUUUUCCUUCUCUGCGUCUUUUUUAGUUCACCGAGUCUGAGAGAGUUCGAAAUCUCUAAAAAAUGUGCAAACGCUCACAAAUUUCACUCUUAAAAUCCAUCUUCGAAAACCAUUUUCGAUAUUCUCCAAGACCCACUUCUCCAUUUCCAUUCAAUUCACUCUCUCAAAUUUCAACUCACCCCCAACUCGGUCCCGACUUAGUCCCCUCCUCGAAGCAUCAAUUUUCUCCUACCUCAUAUUCGAUAAUUUCGCAAAAAUCCCAUCUUUCUAUGCCCCAAGGAAGUCCCAGAAGCUACUACAGCACUGAGUCGGGAGCUGAGUCUGGGACCGAGUUGGACUACAACAGAGAAGUGGACAUGAUUAACCUGAAAUUUGCAGAGGCGAGAGAGGAGAUAGAAAUGGCUAUGGAGUCAAAGGAGACGGUGUACUUCAAUGAGGAAGUUGAGUGUGCCCGAGAUGCCGUGAAGGAGGUUUUGGAUAGGUUUGAGGGGCUCUUGGGCAAGCUAAAAAAGAGUGAAAAGGAAGCUUUGCAGAGGUCUAUGGGGCUCAAGAUUGAGCAGUUGAAAGCUGAGCUUCAUCAGUUGGAUGAUUGAUUGACUCAUGAGUAUAACCAUAUUUUUACAACUUGCUACUGGUUGAAUUCAUGUUCUGAUGGAUUAUGCAUCGAUUUUCUGUGGUUUGUCUCUUAAUUUAUAGUAGUGUUUGUGUCCUCUGAGCAAAAUCUGCAAUUGCAACAGAGCAUUGUGUUUCUUGUCUGUUUAUUAUCGACAACUUCCAUAAAGUAAGUUUUUAGUUUUGUCUUGCAAACAGCCACGAUGAUGACUUUGACAAUAUUCCGAUGCAGUUUGGUAGUGUAACUCUCAGUAAUAAUGUAGAUCAUGGUGACCUAAUAAUCUAUCUGGACGCUAACAACUGACCUUGUAUUUUGCAAGCUGUGAACCUAAACCACACCAUGAAUCCCAGAAACUCAAAAAUUGAAUGUACACGUUGUUAUAUUGAAAAUUGUUGGGAACCUUAAGGUUCAUUGUGCAUUUCAUAAAAGCAGAAGUGAAUUUGCUCAACAGCAUUCUCUGAAA